rnacentral:tRNA from 1 species
UCGGGGAUCGUCUAACGGCAGGACAUCAGGCUCUGAACCUGAGAAUCGGGGUUCGAAUCCCUGUCCCCGAG